rnacentral:lncRNA from 1 species
ACAACAACAACAACAACAACUACCCAGGUAGUCCCAUCAGGUGGGGUCUGGGGAGGGUAAUAGGUAGACGAGCCUUACCCCUGCCCGAAAGGGCAGAGAGUCUGCUUCCAAACGACCCCCGGCGUAUAGGAUGUGGAAGGAAAAGCUGCAUUACGAAAACAAAGGGGAAAUUAGAAACACAAGCAAAACAAAACAAAAUAAUAAAGCAUAGGUACUCCCGCAGAAAUAAAGUAAAUACGUAUGAAGGCAUAAGCAACAUAAAUACAC